GACGAACGCUGGCGGCGCGCUUAACACAUGCAAGUCGAGCGAGAACCAGGACUUCGGUCCUGGGGACAGCGGCGAACGGGUGAGUAACACGUGGAUAACCUGCCCUCGGCACCGGGAUAGCCCGAGGAAACUCGGAUUAAUACCGGAUAGCCCUUCCGACUCUCGAGUCGGUCCGAAAAGGUAGCUUCGGCCUCUGGCCGAGGAUGGGUCCGCGGCGGAUUAGCUUGUUGGUGGGGUAACGGCCUACCAAGGCAUCGAUCCGUAGCUGGUCUGAGAGGACGAUCAGCCACACUGGGACUGAGACACGGCCCAGACUCCUACGGGAGGCAGCAGUGGGGAAUCUUGCGCAAUGGGCGAAAGCCUGACGCAGCGACGCCGCGUGAGGGAAGAAGGCCUCGG
rnacentral:rRNA from 1 species